CCGGCGAUGUCCGAAUGGGGAAACCCAGUGCAAUUCGUUGCACUAUCGUUAACUGAAUACAUAGGUUAACGAGGCGAACCGGGGGAACUGAAACAUCUAAGUACCCCGAGGAAAAGAAAUCAACCGAGAUUCCCCCAGUAGCGGCGAGCGAACGGGGAGCAGCCCAGAGUCUGAAUCAGCUUGUGUGUUAGUGGAACGGUCUGGAAAGUCCGACGGUACAGGGUGAUAGUCCCGUACACCAAAAUGCACAGGCUGUGAACUCGAAGAGUAGGGCGGGACACGUGGUAUCCUGUCUGAAUAUGGGGGGACCAUCCUCCAAGGCUAAAUACUCCUGACUGACCGAUAGUGAACCAGUACCGUGAGGGAAAGGCGAAAAGAACCCCGGCGAGGGGAGUGAAAAAGAACCUGAAACCGUGUACGUACAAGCAGUGGGAGCACCUU
rnacentral:rRNA from 1 species